UGCAAGUCGUACGCACUGGCCCAACUGAUUGAUGGUGCUUGCACCUGAUUGACGAUGGAUCACCAGUGAGUGGCGGACGGGUGAGUAACACGUAGGUAACCUGCCCCGGAGCGGGGGAUAACAUUUGGAAACAGAUGCUAAUACCGCAUAACAACAAAAGCCGCAUGGCUUUUGUUUGAAAGAUGGCUUUGGCUAUCACUCUGGGAUGGACCUGCGGUGCAUUAGCUAGUUGGUAAGGUAACGGCUUACCAAGGCGAUGAUGCAUAGCCGAGUUGAGAGACUGAUCGGCCACAAUGGAACUGAGACACGGUCCAUACUCCUACGGGAGGCAGCAGUAGGGAAUCUUCCACAAUGGGCGCAAGCCUGAUGGAGCAACACCGCGUGAGUGAAGAAGGGUUUCGGCUCGUAAAGCUCUGUUGUUGGAGAAGAACGUGCGUGAGAGUAACUGUUCACGCAGUGACGGUAUCCAACCAGAAAGUCACGGCUAACUACGUGCCAGCAGCCGCGGUAAUACGUAGGUGGCAAGCGUUAUCCGGAUUUAUUGGGCGUAAAGCGAGCGCAGGCGGUUGCUUAGGUCUGAUGUGAAAGCCUUCGGCUUAACCGAAGAAGUGCAUCGGAAACCGGGCGACUUGAGUGCAGAAGAGGACAGUGGAACUCCAUGUGUAGCGGUGGAAUGCGUAGAUAUAUGGAAGAACACCAGUGGCGAAGGCGGCUGUCUGGUCUGCAACUGACGCUGAGGCUCGAAAGCAUGGGUAGCGAACAGGAUUAGAUACCCUGGUAGUCCAUGCCGUAAACGAUGAGUGCUAGGUGUUGGAGGGUUUCCGCCCUUCAGUGCCGGAGCUAACGCAUUAAGCACUCCGCCUGGGGAGUACGACCGCAAGGUUGAAACUCAAAGGAAUUGACGGGGGCCCGCACAAGCGGUGGAGCAUGUGGUUUAAUUCGAAGCUACGCGAAGAACCUUACCAGGUCUUGACAUCUUGCGCUAACCUUAGAGAUAAGGCGUUCCCUUCGGGGACGCAAUGACAGGUGGUGCAUGGUCGUCGUCAGCUCGUGUCGUGAGAUGUUGGGUUAAGUCCCGCAACGAGCGCAACCCUUGUUACUAGUUGCCAGCAUUAAGUUGGGCACUCUAGUGAGACUGCCGGUGACAAACCGGAGGAAGGUGGGGACGACGUCAGAUCAUCAUGCCCCUUAUGACCUGGGCUACACACGUGCUACAAUGGACGGUACAACGAGUCGCAAGCUCGCGAGAGUAAGCUAAUCUCUUAAAGCCGUUCUCAGUUCGGACUGUAGGCUGCAACUCGCCUACACGAAGUCGGAAUCGCUAGUAAUCGCGGAUCAGCAUGCCGCGGUGAAUACGUUCCCGGGCCUUGUACACACCGCCCGUCACACCAUGGGAGUUUGUAACGCCCAAAGUCGGUGGCCUAACCUUUAUGGAGGGAGCCGC
rnacentral:rRNA from 1 species